rnacentral:rRNA from 1 species
UUGACCUCAAAUCAGGUAGGACUACCCGCUGAACUUAAGCAUAUCAAAAACCGCGGAGGGGAAAC